GUAAUUCUGGAUUAUUCAAUAUGAAGGUUGUUGUCUUUAGUAGGAAUCAUAAUCCUAACACAUCAUGGAACAAAAAUAACCAACGAACUCCACUGCAUGAGGAAAAGGUGAAGGAUGGAAGACUGUUUCCUGUAUCAAUGGAAAGAAGAAAGAAUUAGCAAAAAACUCAGCCAAGGCUAUACAAAAACACUCAUGUGGCAGGUAUAAACGUCAAUAUCGUUGAUGCUAAUACUGGUAAGUACUUGACCUCCCAAAAAUUAUCUUAUAAAAAUAAGCACUCUCCAAAUACACCUACAACUCUGUUAAGUUCAUAAGAACUUCUGAAUCAAAACAUAAAAAUAAAAAAUAACUUUUCCCCAUUAGAAGAAGCAGACAUGGUUUUGG
rnacentral:lncRNA from 1 species